rnacentral:rRNA from 1 species
CAGUAGCCGCGGUAAUACAGAGGAUGCAAGCGUUAUUCGGAUUGAUUGGGUGUAAAGGGUGUGCAGACGGCUUAUUAAGUCACUUGUUAAAUUCUUCGGCCUAACUGAAGGUCUGCAAGUGAUACUGAUGAGCUAGAGGGUGGAAGAGAGAAGUGGAAUUCUCGGAGUAGCGGUAAAAUGCGUAGAUCUCGAGAGGAACACCAAUGGCGAAGGCAGCUUCUUGGUCCAUUCCUGACGUUCAUACACGAAAGCGUUGGGAGCAAACAGGAUUAGAGACCCGCGUAGUCCCUGUCUCUUAUAC